UGGGGAAUAUUGCACAAUGGGCGCAAGCCUGAUGCAGCAACGCCGCGUGAACGAUGAAGGUCUUCGGAUCGUAAAGUUCUGUUGCAGGGGAAGAUAAUGACGGUACCCUGUGAGGAAGCCCCGGCUAACUACGUGCCAGCAGCCGCGGUAAUACGUAGGGGGCUAGCGUUAUCCGGAUUUACUGGGCGUAAAGGGUGCGUAGGUGGUCUUUCAAGUCGGUGGUUAAAGGCUACGGCUCAACCGUAGUUAGCCUCCGAAACUGGAAGACUUGAGUGCAGGAGAGGAAAGUGGAAUUCCCAGUGUAGCGGUGAAAUGGGUAGAUAUUGGGAGGAACACCAGUAGCGAAGGCGGCUUUCUGGACUGCAAAUGACACUGAGGCACGAAAGCGUGGGUAGCAAACAGG
rnacentral:rRNA from 1 species